rnacentral:rRNA from 1 species
CAAGGGGAGCGGCAGACGGGUGAGUAACGCGUGGGGAUGUGCCUGGUGGUACGGAACAACUCAGGGAAACUUGAGCUAAUGCCGUAUAAGCCCUUCGGGGGAAAGAUUUAUCGCCACCAGAUCAACCCGCGUUGGAUUAGCUAGUUGGUGAGGUAACGGCUCACCAAGGCGACGAUCCAUAGCUGGUCUGAGAGGAUGAUCAGCCACACUGGGACUGAGACACGGCCCAGACUCCUACGGGAGGCAGCAGUGGGGAAUAUUGGACAAUGGGCGCAAGCCUGAUCCAGCCAUGCCGCGUGAGUGAUGAAGGCCUUAGGGUUGUAAAGCUCUUUCACUGGGGAAGAUAAUGACGGUACCCAGAGAAGAAGCCCCGGCUAACUUCGUGCCAGCAGCCGCGGUAAUACGAAGGGGGCUAGCGUUGUUCGGAAUCACUGGGCGUAAAGCGCACGUAGGCGGACUUUUAAGUCAGGGGUGAAAUCCCAAGGCUCAACCUUGGAACUGCCUUUGAUACUGGAAGUCUUGAGUUCGGGAGAGGUGAGUGGAACUGCGAGUGUAGAGGUGAAAUUCGUAGAUAUUCGCAAGAACACCAGUGGCGAAGGCGGCUCACUGGCCCGAUACUGACGCUGAGGUGCGAAAGCGUGGGGGAGCAAACAGGAUUAGAUACCCCUGGUAGUCCACGCCGUAAACGAUGGAAGCUAGCCCGUUGGUCAGCAUGCUGAUCAGUGGCGCAGCUAACGCUU